AUUGAACGCUGGCGGCAUGCCUUACACAUGCAAGUCGAACGGCAGCACGGACUUCGGUCUGGUGGCGAGUGGCGAACGGGUGAGUAAUACAUCGGAACGUGCCCAAUCGUGGGGGAUAACGUAGCGAAAGCUACGCUAAUACCGCAUACGAUCUAAGGAUGAAAGCGGGGGAUCGCAAGACCUCGCUCGAAUGGAGCGGCCGAUGGCAGAUUAGGUAGUUGGUAGGGUAAAGGCCUACCAAGCCGACGAUCUGUAGCUGGUCUGAGAGGAUGAUCAGCCACACUGGGACUGAGACACGGCCCAGACUCCUACGGGAGGCAGCAGUGGGGAAUUUUGGACAAUGGACGCAAGUCUGAUCCAGCCAUUCCGCGUGCAGGAUGAAGGCCCUCGGGUUGUAAACUGCUUUUGUACAGAACGAAAAGGCUCUGGUUAAUACCUAGGGCUCAUGACGGUACUGUAAGAAUAAGCACCGGCUAACUACGUGCCAGCCGCCGCAGUAA
rnacentral:rRNA from 1 species